UGGCCACCUGGCUGAUUUUUUGUGAGGAGCAUCAUAUAGGAAUACGUACGGACCCAUGUAGUUUAAUUCAAUAUUCCAAUUUCUAGAGUUCUUCAUCUAUCUCAUCCUGCGGAUGUACUUCACGAGUCCGCUUCGGAUCAUCCUGCUCUUCUUCUUCUUGCUUUGAUCUUGUUAGCCGUCCCGCCUUCCGCUUUCCAGUUUUAGUAUCAUGCAUCGACACAUAUUUCUCAAUAUCAUCUACUGAUGCAGAAGCUGUGAUGGAUAUUCCAGGAGCUGUCUUUGGACCAACAAAUAAAGAGGCUCACUCAUUGCAUUUGUACUGAAUACUGGCAGUCCAUCAGCUAUUUUUCUUUUCUCCUGCAGUUUCUUUAGAGUGUUUUGUAUUAUGGGCACAGCGUCUCCAAGUAUCUCUGGCCCUGGUUCAUAGAGUUCGACCUGACACAUAUGCUCAAUAAAAUAGCGGCACGUCUGUUCGUUGGCAUCCUGGUUAGAUAACUUUUUAAUCUCUGUGG
rnacentral:sRNA from 1 species